UGAGGCGGAAAGGAAGCGGCGUUUUUUUGGGGGGAGGCUUCAUGCGUGGGUGUGUAAAGAGACGUAAAUGUUUGCCCUUUUUAAAAACUUGUCACCAAGGCGUGUCUUUAUUWUUAUUAUGUUUUGUGUGCAGUUUUAUAUAGCUGAACUCUAAUUAAAAUUAUGAUUAAUUGGGGGGGUAGUUAGCCUCACAUCUGAACGCUCUUUAACGUCCUUACCGAGAUAACGUGGGUGUUGCUGCUCACGUGGAGGGAGCUACUUUUAAAAUUCCGUUAUUUUACAAUUUGAACACUCCUUCACUCUCCCAGCGUGCUCAGAAAAUGUGCAGACAGCAGCGUUUCCGUUAGCUUUUAUAUGAAUAGAAAAAAAAAACACGAGCUCGCCUCGCGACUCCUUAAAUAAGCACCACGCGCACAUGAAUAAUGUGGAUUCGAAGGACCAACGGUUUUGACGCGAGCCCCCCUUUGUUCGUACAGCGAGCGCUCUGAUUGGCCGAAGCCCUCACGGACCACCGUCUCACCGAGCGCUGAUUGGUCAGAGGGUGGUGAGAGUGAUGUUGACAUUCAUCGUCUGAUUUCAGGGCGGAGCCUGUUGUAAAGGGGGAACCGAGCUAUAGUUUUAAAAAACAAGAAAAAGUGGGGGUGUUUAUGAGCUCCUGCAAAGCUACACACGCUGUUUCAUUGGAGAAGCAGAAAAAUGUGACUGGUUUACGACCUGAAUUAUUCUCAUUAUGUGUCUCGAGACAGAACAUCGACAAACAUUUAUCACCGAGAAGAACUGUUUUUUAGUGGAGGAAGGUGAUGCUCACAAGGAGGAAACCCAAGGCUGGGAAGCAAACCUGCAACCUUCUCUCUGUGAAGUGACGACACUAACCCGCAGUGCCAGUCCUGCUCAAGGUCACACAAAACGCAAACAAAUGUCAUUUUGCUUUUGACCAAAACGAAACAAGAAAACAAAACAUAACCCUGUAUGUAAAGUUUURUGUGAAAACAGAAACUGUGAAAGAAAAUAAAACGAGAAGAAAGCC